GCCAAAUCGAAUCACUUUUAUUGGAGUGCUCCAUUGUGUCGGAUCGUUUUGAUUUUGGAUACUAAAAAAUUAACAAGUUUUCGGUUAGCUCUAGUUAGUGAAAUUUGAUUUAAAACAAGAGCGAUUACAUAAAGCUAGUUCUGUUAUAAGAAGCUUUUUCAUUACUUGAGACCCGUUAUAAAGUUGACCCAGAUAACCCAUUAGCGUGGGUGCUGGUUUGGGAACAAGGUUCCCCCGAACUUGAGAUCGAGCCUGAAGUUAAAGCGAUUUUCGGCAAAGCGAAAAGCCGUUUCUAUUUGGUGAAGCCACGUGGUCGUACGGUGCAUUGGGAACCCCUGCUUUACCACGACACAAGUUGAGAGAGUGCCUAUUGUUGGCUUACCGCCCACCGCCCGCCGGAAAAUUGGAACGAAUCAAGGACCGAUCCACGACUGAUCGAUUCUAACCUCUCUUCAGAGUUAAGCCGAGAGAGAGAGAGGACGAGUCGCGCAAGCGUAACCCGCAAAGAGAAGCUUUGACGUAGCCAGGAUCCAAACCCCAAACCAGACUUGGGAAUUCGUCACAACCGCUUCGGGUUCUCAGAAGAUUAACGUCGACGAACAUGUGAGAAGGGUCUAAGACAGGUCAGUGAUCACUAGAAUAGGAAAUUGAGCUCAAUUCAGGAAUUAAAAUUGUUAAACCCCGGGUCGAUAGCAUAAUCAAACAAACUAAUAGAGUUAAUUGAAUUCCUUACAAAACACGCGUUCGAAUAAAUUAAGGCUUUCGCCACUGAUGAAGCCGUGGAAAUCCCAUGGAAGUAUUUUGCGUCAUAAUUACCUAGUAAUAAAAGUUUUGAAAUGCGAUUUUGAGUGAUUUUCUUCUUUAGUUAGCCCUUGCUUUGGUAUGAAGUAGUUUCGAUAGACUCGCCCGCAGAUUUGGAGUUUCAGGCCGGGCAUCCCUGAAAUA